rnacentral:rRNA from 1 species
UACAGAGGGUGCAAGCGUUAAUCGGAUUUACUGGGCGUAAAGCGUGCGUAGGCGGUUCUCUAAGUCGGUUGUGAAAUCCCUGGGCUUAACCUGGGAACUGUAGUCGAUACUGGCGGACUAGAGUACGGUAGAGGGUGGCGGAACUCCGGGUGUAGCGGUGAAAUGCGUAGAUAUCCGGAAGAACACCGAUGGCGAAGGCAACCACCUGGGCCUGUACUGACGCUGAGGUACGAAAGCGUGGGGAGCAAACAGG